rnacentral:rRNA from 1 species
AGAAUUUGAUCCUGGUUCAGGAUGAAUGCUGGCAGUGUACCUUAAGCAUGCAAGUCGAACGGAUGAGGCCGCAAGGCCAAAUCAGUGGCAGACGGGUGAGGAUUGACAGGAACCUACCUUUUGUUGGGGAAUAGCUCGCCGAAAGGCGAGAUAAUACCGCAUAAGAUCGCAAGAUGAAAGGCCUUAACCGGCCGACGAUAGAUGGGCCUGUUUGCUAUCAGCUAGUUGGUGAGGUAAUGGCUCACCAAGGCUAUGACGGCUAGGGGACGUGAGAGCGUGGUCCCCCACAAUGUUACUUAGACACGGAACAUACACCUACGGGUGGCAGCAACUGGGAAUUUUGCACAAUGGACGAAAGUCUGAUGCAGUGACACUGCGUGUAGGAUGAAGGCCCUCGGGUCGUAAACUACUGUGAUAGGGGAAAAAAUUUUGAUGGUACCCUAUUAGAAAGUACUUGCUAACUACGUGCCAGAAGCCUCGGUAAUACGUAGAGUACAAGCAUUAUCCGGAUUUAUUGGGCGUAAAGAGUAUCGUAGGCGGUCUAUUAAGUAACGGGUUAAAGCCCGGGGCUCAACCCCAGUGAAAUCUGUUGAUAUCAAGAAGAAUACCAAAAGCGAAGGCAGGUAACUAGGACAUUCCAGACGCUGAUGAACGAAAGCUAGGGGAGCGAAAGGGAUUUUGACUAGUCCCAUCACGCAGUAAUGCGUGAUUAAAGAAUCGGCUAUAUCGGUGAAAGUCCUUGCGGUUUCGGUUUACUUUCGGGUAUACUGAAUAAGUGAGGAAAACACCGAGGGAAGUUUUUAACUAUAAGAAGAAUGAAUUUUGUUUAACUAAAACUCAAAGGAGCGUUUUAAUUGGAACAAUGUUAGGUGAUAGUGGGUUGAGAUUUCGGGGAAUAAAUUGUCGUUUGCAUAUCAAGCAUAGUCUUAAACAGCUAAGUUUGGUGAAUUACAAAUGGCGUAUUUUUGAACCUAUUAUUUCAAUGAAAGUAAGAUGUUUCAGUCAGAAAGUCGGCAUGAAAGACUACAACUUUGCCGAGUUUGUGACUUUAACUCAUCCUAUUUUUACCUAUUAUUACCAGUUGUUUUAUAAAAACCACAAGAAAGUUGUUGUCGAUGAGAUGGCAACUGCAAUUGAUCCUUUGGUACUGGCUGUUUGGAUUAUGGAUGAUGGAUCUGCAGAAUAUGCUGGUUUAUCAAUCCAA